UUCGGCCACGGGUAUCCUCGGGCGGAUAACACGGAGCCGCUGUUAUUGCUUGAGAAUACGCGUAGCCGAG
rnacentral:pre_miRNA from 1 species